CACAACUACACUGGCGAUCAUUGUGAGUGCCGUCCUUUUCCUCCUGGUUGCAAGUCCUGUAUGUUGUUUCUGUUUCCGCAAACACGCAUGUGCACAAAGGUCAGCCGGUACACACAAUAGUGUAUUAGAGCAGGCAGACCCCAAUUACAUGGACUACCAAGAAGUUCAGAAGUAUUGGGAAAUCAGAGAAGAUGAAGCAGAACUGGGCGACGGGAUACGGAAUCAGAACAACGAAAGCACAAGAGAUGUCAGUGAUGACGCACUGCCUGUGUUAGCAGAUUACUUUCCGGGAGCUGUCAACGUAGUGGCUGAAGAUGACGACGUUGUAGCUGGACAUGGCGACAUUCAAGGUGGAGUUGGUGACGUUGAGGCUGAAGGUGGUGACACUGAAGCCGACGAUGAUGUUCCAGAUGGUACACCAGGCAGUUCAGUCUCCGAUGACCACUCCUACACACACCUGACGAUGGACGUCCCUGUUGCUGAUCCGAGAACAGUCGCCUCAUAUAUAUCUCCACUUGAGGAGUGAUAUUUUAUAUCCAUUGCGAUCCAAUACAUACCAAAGCUAGAAGCAGGGAGUGGUGACUUUGAAGCAGAGGGUGGUGACUUUGAAACAGAGGAUUGUGACUUUGAAACAGAGGAUUGUGACACCGAAGCAGAGGAUGGUGACACCGAAGCAGAGGAUGGUGACUUUGAAGCAGAAGAUGGUGACACCGAAGCAACAGGUGGUGACAUUAAGCAGCGGAUCGAACAUCUGUCACAGACAACCACACAUACUCACACGUCAUGAGGAAGACCUUCAUUGCUGAGACCACAUAUUGUAUGUGACGACACAUUGUGUAUUAGUAUUUAUUGUUUAGAUACAUAGUACAUUCUUUACAUCAUCACUUAUAAAUUCUCUAAAGAGCAGCACUGAUGAGCUAAACUUCCAACACUGUCCUAAUUACUAGUCGUCUGGAAAACAUGACGUAAUGUUGAAGGAGAUUUACUUUUGUCAAGUUUACUAUAUCUGUGUUGCUUAACACUGCAUGCAACUAUAUUGCAGCUAAAGGAAUUAUAACUGUAAAUAUCACGUUUGGACCAGACAAGCCAGUGAUUGUUAGCAUGUCCAACAUCCCAAGAGGACUGCAUGUUUAUUGUUUAAUUCCGCACUCUACUACAUUGCAACUAACUAUCUGUUCUUGCCCAACAUUGCACGGGGAUUGUUUGCUUGGUAACGCUUUAUUCAGUUUUUUUUGUAAUUAAACGAGAUUUUAAAUUCUUUAAGACACAAUUGUUGCAAGAUGAAAAAAAUAUGUGUAAGGUGGCACAACCCGCCGCUCUGGAACAUACAAUGAAGGACACAUGAUCGAUUUUUGUAAGUUCAAAUUUUUAUAAGAACAGUGCUGUGUAUUAUCGUUAUGUCGAAUCGAUUCAUAAUCUUGUUUUCAUUUGGUACAGAAUAACGGGAUAUUGUAUACAAAAUAGUAAAUAUUAUAUAAAUCGUGACCACCAUUUUGUAUUACGGGAAUUACGGAAAAGUGAAUCCGUCUACAUACAUGCUGAACAAAUAUUGAACCAAACCAGAAAAGUAGAUAAAUGGAAAAUAUUCUGGUCCAUGAUAAAAAGACUGUUUUCAAAAUGAGCUGUUAAAAAUAUGUAAUACAAAAUUGAUUUGAAACUUGGGUGUUGCAAUAUAUUUGUGAAUGUAGAAUUCACUGUUAAGGCUU